rnacentral:rRNA from 1 species
GAUGAACGCUAGCUAUAGGCUUAACACAUGCAAGUCGAGGGACCGGCGCACGGGUGAGUAACGCGUAUCCAACCUACCCAUAACUAAGGGAUAACCCAGCGAAAGUUGGACUAAUACCUUAUGGUUAUGGAUGGGGUUGCGUAUGAUUAGCUUGUUGGCGGGGUAACGGCCCACCAAGGCAACGAUCAGUAGGGGUUCGGAGAGGAAGGCCCACUAAAUUGGAAAUGAGACACGGUCCAAAAGCCUACGGGAGGAAGCAGUGAGGAACAUUGGGGAAGGGACACAAGUCUGAACCAGCCAAGUAGCGGGCAGGAUGACGGCGUAGGGGUGGUAAACUGCUGGUAUAUGGGGAUAGGUACCAGAUGAAUAAGGACCGGCUAAUUCCGUGCCAGCCGCCGCGGUAAUAC